rnacentral:rRNA from 1 species
AGAGUUUGAUCCUGGCUCAGAUUGAACGCUGGCGGCAGGCCUAACACAUGCAAGUCGAGCGGAUGAGUGGAGCUUGCUCCAUGAUUCAGCGGCGGACGGGUGAGUAAUGCCUAGGAAUCUGCCUGGUAGUGGGGGACAACGUUUCGAAAGGAACGCUAAUACCGCAUACGUCCUACGGGAGAAAGUGGGGGAUCUUCGGACCUCACGCUAUCAGAUGAGCCUAGGUCGGAUUAGCUAGUUGGUGAGGUAAAGGCUCACCAAGGCGACGAUCCGUAACUGGUCUGAGAGGAUGAUCAGUCACACUGGAACUGAGACACGGUCCAGACUCCUACGGGAGGCAGCAGUGGGGAAUAUUGGACAAUGGGCGAAGGCCUGAUCCAGCCAUGCCGCGUGUGUGAAGAAGGUCUUCGGAUUGUAAAGCACUUUAAGUUGGGAGGAAGG